rnacentral:misc_RNA from 1 species
GCAAACUUGGUCAUUUAGAGGAAGUAAAAGUCGUAACAAGGUCUCCGUAGGUGAACCUGCGGAGGGAUCAUUACAAAAAAGUAAAGCCCGUCUCCGGAUGGGCCCAUACUUCAACCCUUUGUUGUCCGACCGCGUUGCCUCCGGGGCGACCCUGACCUUCGGGUCAAGGGGGACCCCGGGUGGACACCCAAACUCUGCGUAACUUUGUAGUCUGAGUAAACAAGUUUAAUAAACUAAAACUUUCAACAACGGAUCUCUUGGUUCUGGCAUCGAUGAAGAACGCAGC